GGAGGAUCAUUGUCGACACGUUGAGAGAACGAAGAGAAUCAGUGACCAGGCUGUAGAGUGGCCUAGUGGAGCAGUUGCUGCCCCUGCCGGGCCCCUCUCCCUCUGCGCUCGUCUUUCCCGCCGCCCCCCGCUCGCGGGGUGGCAGGCCGGGUCUGCAUGAGCCUUCAACGAACCCUCGACGCGGGCCGCGUCAAGGACUACUGUAUCGACCAUUACAGGGCGCGACCCUAGCUUGGCCUCGUCUCCGUGCGAUACUUGGCUGCUUCGCGCCCCUGUCUGAAAAAGAUUACGAUGACUCUCGGCAACGGAUAUCUAGGCUCUCGCAUCGAUGAAGAACGUAGCGAAAUGCGAUACUUGGUGUGAAUUGCAGAAUCCCGUGAACCAUCGAGUCUUUGAACGCAAGUUGCGCCCGGAGCCGUCAGGCCGAGGGCACGUCUGCCUGGGCGUCGCACGUACCUUCUCUCCUGCACGCGCAUCUUCUUGGAUGCGCGGUUCAUGGAGUUGGAUAUUGGCCAUCCGUGUGGUGGAAUAACGGUUGGCUCGAUGUAUGCAUGCAUGCGUGUUCGCAUCACGACGGGUGGUGAUCAUCCCUGAGAUGCCCGUGUACGUCGUGAUCGCCGCGUUGCCUGUUUCUCAUUGGUCGCCCGGCACGGUGAAGGCAUGUUCCAGUGCCCCUCCGAACCGUACGGACCCCAGUCAGC
rnacentral:rRNA from 1 species